rnacentral:rRNA from 1 species
UACGUAGGCAGCAAGCGUUGUUCGGAAUUACUAGGCGUAAAGAGUGUGUAGGCGGUGUUCUAAGUCUGUUGUGAAAUCUCCCGGCUUGAACUGGGAGGGUGCGGCGGAAAACUGGAAUGCUAGAGGAUGGGAGAGGUAAGCGGAAUUCCUGGUGUAGCGGUGAAAUGCGUAGAUAUCAGGAGGAACACCUGUGGUGUAGACAGCUUACUGGACCAUUUCUGACGCUGAGACACGAAAGCGUGGGUAGCAAACAGG